CACAGCGUUCUUCUGCUCUACAAAACUCGAAUCCAGUUUUGAUGGUAAUUCUUGCUGUUAACCUUCAAAGAGAGCUCUCGUCUACGGCUGUCAAUGCUCAUCUGCUUGCCUAUGCCUGAGAAAAUAAGAUGCUGUACUGAAAGGAUUUUUAGGAGUAUUUCAGCAGAAAAUGAGAUUUGGCCAUUUCCCAGGCUGCUCCCAAGGCCUUGGAAGAUGAUCUGCCGAGCCAUUGCACGAUGCAGCAGGUUCUGCCUGGGGACCCUCGGCUCCACACUGCAUCAAGGUGCUGGGAGGAUGGAAAUGGUUUCUCCAAGCACUGUUCCUAGCACUUGCAGGACUGAACAUAGGCAUCAGCUGACAGCUUUCUGAGCUCUUUGCUCUGCAGUGUUCUCUGUAUGCAGCAAGCUGGGCAAAUAACAGAGAAUGAGCAGUUUGUGUAACAGUGGGAUGUUUCAUGCCUCACUUCUUUCAGAAACAAAACCUCAUCAUUACUUUCUUUUUCCCACUUAAAUUAAAAAAAAAAAACAAAAAAAAAACAACAGAAGAACUGGUUUGAUUGAAUUUUCUUCCUUUUCUUCCUGCUUCCCCUUCUCAUCUUUGUCAAAUGAUGCUGCUAUUUGGAGAAAGUAAAGCUUAAUUAGUGUAAUGAAUUUUUAUAUGUUUCCUUAUAAUUAUAAAUCAUUAGUGCGAUACCUUGCAUGUUUGUUUGGCAAUAUACAGACCUCUUACUCCAUGCAUUGUGACAAAGGACUUCACAACUAUUACUGCAAACUGGUGUGGACAAUGCAGCAAAAUCUUCUGCAGAUAUUCUGCUUAUGCCUUACAGAUGUAUCUUAACAGUAUUAGUUUGCCUUUAGCAGAUUCAUAGUUAAACUGUAAUAGAGCAUAUUUUGCAUACAGUUAGACUCUUUGGGAUUGGUACUGUAGUGACUUAAGCCAUCCAUCUGGAGAGCGGAAGUAAUUUAAUGAGACUUAUAUAAACAACACGUCUGUCAGUUUUGCAAGCACUUUAUAGUUGAGUACAUCCUAAGCGUUAACAGCAUGAGGAUCAAAGUGAUACAUUUAGGAUUUCUUCCAAAGCUUUGUUAUGUGUUAUCAAGAAUGUGUCAAUCAUUGUAAGUAAUUAAAUAAAGGUCAGACUUGUUUUUAUUCUGUCAAUACGCACAAAGAUGACACGAAGUGUAUUUUCACUGUCUGGAACAUUUUUAAUACCUCAUAAUAAAAAACAAGAGAGAAACUUC
rnacentral:lncRNA from 7 species